UAACGUUAUUAAAUGUUUUCCCCUGGGCCCUUCGUUUUAAAUUGCCCAGUCUGCAGAGUUCGGGUUGGAUCUAGUAGGAGACGAGGCAUAGUCACCCGCUUUUCGGCCAGUUUUCAUCAGUAGGUUACCUGUUCAACCUACUUGUGUUUUCUUGCUUCCGCUUGUGUUUAGUAGCUCUGAAUACUUUAGAAUUUUGUAUAUUAUGUGAUAUUCAGAAGCGUUAAAUUAAGAGUGUAAUAUGAAAUUUUCGAGUUAGGGUUGUCCAUCUGCAAGGGAGAUUUUCUUAAUCUUUUCAGUAAAUUUUCCUUGGAGGUGGUCCCCGCACGACUUACUCUGGGUUUCAGGGUGAAAUUCGGGGUGGGUCGUGUCACUGGGAGCCAAGGGCGAGGGUCAGAGAGGAGGUUGAGGACGGGAGAGGGCGCGGGUCUGGGAGCGGAGGGCGCGGAGCAGAUGCAGAUUUGGGAGAUGAAGGAGGAGGAGGCGUAGAGAGGUUAGUGAGAUUAGUGAGGUCUUAUCUAAGGUAGGAUUUUCGGAGUACCCACGAUAACACCGGUUAAGGAGGAGAAAUCAGAAAACCGGUCCAAGUUAAGCCCAUUAAUGUUAGUACCGAGAGAGACCAAACGUGGGAUUAGCUUUGUUUCAUUCCUUAUUUAAGACUGGCUUAGGUAGUACCGGGUACCAAACGUACCCUAUAUUUCUCUUGCGCUCUUUCCUAGUUGGAGUCGGAGACCACCAUCACAUGGGAAGACAGGGAAGUCCCUACUCUUAUCACAUGGGAAACUUGACGUCAUAGAGGGAGGGAGGGAGAGGCAAUCACAUGAUUAUCAUCUAGGAAUUCACUUUCAUUAGGGACUUUCGUAUUGUAAGGCAUCUUUAGACUUGAUGUUGAUUUCCUGCCACCUUGCAUAUGGGGGCAUGAUGGGGCUAAUUAUUUUGUUCAUUCACCCAUGUUUACACUAGAUCCAGAUCCUCUCCUCAUAAUUCUCUGCUAAUACUUCCUCAUAAAUGAAUCUGGACCAUCCAAUUUUAAUGGAUGGCCAGGAUUUCUCUUGCUUUGUUUGUAGAGAUAUUUUCGUCUAUCCCGUUCUCUUCCUCCUUAUCUCAAAUUCUCCAUUCUCAAACCCCUUUCUCAAAUUUCACUCACACGGUCACAUUCACACCUUUGAUCUGUCUCUCAUCUCUCUCUUCUCUCUCUUUCGAAUUCUCUCCAUGGGAGAGCGCAACGGUGGUAGUAAUGAUAAAGUUUUCAAUAUAAUGGCAUCUCAGACGUCUCGACGACCAGAACCGGUCAUAAUUGAUUUGAGGAGAAGGGAGAUUUGAGGACCAGAGUAGACCUCAGGGCGUCUUCGGAGAAGAGUGAACGCAGAUUUGAGUUGCAUGUGUCAGGAAUCGAAGGAUCAGACCGGGGGUCGGUGCGUGUCUGGAAUCGGUAAUUGUCUGGAUUGAGUUCAUGUUUCUGUAAAGCUGCUAGAUCAGGUUUUCGACUCCGGAUUCGAUCGAUGUCGGUGUUGGAAGUAGUUCAACCGGAUGAAGACUGUGAUUGCUCUUAGGAAAAGGACUUGAAUUUGAUUGCCUUAGACCAGAGAACAUCAAUCUUACUCUAAACACCACUAAAGGGACACUUUUUGUAGAUGAUUCACAAAUGUUAAUGAAGAUGAAUUCUGGGUUGAUAUUGGUAUUGGAGACGAUACCAAAAUGAAGAUAGUUAAUUAGUUAUAUCUGUUCAGCCUUUGAUCAGUAUCCUUCAUCUCUCCAAGAUGACUGUUCAAUUUGAUAAAGAACGACUUGGCUAUAAAAUAUUUUCUUUAUAGUUUUAAUUCUCAUUCUCAUAUAACAGUUUUUUCUUCAUCACAAAUCAUAUAUGGCUUCAGUUGCAGCGUAUUAACAAGUUGGGAUCUCUAAUAACCUCUAAUAACACGAUUUUCUCAUUUCCAUAACACCACAAGAACCGGUCUUUCUCAUGACACAUAAACCCAGUAGACAAAGAACAUAGCUUUUUCCAUUGAGAGACAAACAUAUGUUCCUCGAGACCCAUCCCAGCAUUC
rnacentral:lncRNA from 1 species